GUGCUCGCUUUGGCAGCACAUAUACUAAAAUUGGAAGGAUACAGAGAAGAUCAGCAUGGCCCCUGUGCAAGGAUGCCACGCAAAGUUGUGAAGUGUUCCAUAUUUAA
ensembl:snRNA U6 U6 spliceosomal RNA